CUCAUUCAAUCUUCAUUUACGGAACCUAAAGAACAAUAGAUUUCAGUGUUUCUUCUCAGUGAAUAAUCCAUGGAAUCAACGGCUCAACGUCGCCUGAAAGCAAUUCAGGGUCAUCUUCUAUCCACGUCUGAGGAUUCAGAGUCGCAGCUUUCUCGGAACGCCACUGCCGGGGAGUUCGUCCAGGGGCAGGGUUACAGUGUGGUUCUUCCGGAAAAAUUGCAAUCAGGAAAGUGGAAUGUGUACAGGUCGGCACGCUCUCCAUUGAAGCUUGUGAGUAGAUUUGAGGAUCGUCCUAAAAUUGGAACUUUGCACGAUAACUUUGUGCAUGCAGUUGAGAAUUUCCAAGAUUGCAAGUAUUUGGGUACCCGAAUCCGGGUGGAUGGAACAGUUGGAGAGUACAAAUGGAUGACAUAUGGAGAAGCAGGUACUGCUCGGUCAGCAAUAGGUUCUGGUUUAAUAUAUCAUGGGAUACCUAAGGGAUCUUCCAUUGGACUAUACUUCAUAAACAGACCGGAGUGGCUUAUUGUUGAUCAUGCUUGCUCAGCAUAUUCAUACAUCUCAGUUCCUUUAUAUGAUACUCUAGGGCCAGAUGCUGUUAAAUUUGUUGUAAAUCAUGCUGUUAUACAAGCUAUUUUUUGCGUCCCACAGACAUUGAACAUUUUGCUGAGCUUCUUCUCUGAGAUGCCAUCAGUACGUCUGAUAGUGGUAGUUGGAGGAAUAGAUGGACACAUGCCAUCACUUCCCUCAACAACUGGAGUUGAAGUUAUAUCGUAUUCAAAACUACUUAUGCAGGGCCGCAGUAAUAUUCAGCCUUUUUCUCCUCCAAAACCAGAGGAUAUUGCGACCAUCUGCUAUACGAGUGGAACAACUGGGACACCAAAGGGGGCUAUGUUAACACAUGGGAAUUUGAUAGCAAAUGUUGCUGGUGUCAUUCUUGGUAUCAAAUUCUGCCCUUCAGACGUUUACAUCUCCUAUCUUCCUUUGGCACACAUUUUUGAGCGAGCUAACCAAGUUAUGAUUGUUUAUUGUGGAGUCGCUGUUGGUUUUUACCAAGGGGAUAAUUUGAAACUGAUGGAUGAUAUGGCGGCUCUGAGACCGACAGUUUUUUGUAGUGUUCCUCGACUGUAUAACAGAAUUUAUUCUGGCAUUACAAAUGCUGUGAAGACUUCGGGGUCUCUAAGAGAAAGGCUAUUUAAUGCUGCUUACAAUUCCAAGAAGCAAGCGAUAGCAAAUGGAAGGAAUCCAUCACCCAUAUGGGACAGAUUGGUAUUCAAUAAAAUAAAGGAGAAAUUAGGAGGACGAGUAAGGCUUAUGGUUUCUGGUGCCUCACCAUUGUCUCCUGAUGUCAUGGACUUUUUGAGGGUAUGCUUUGGCUGUCGAGUAGCUGAAGGAUAUGGGAUGACUGAGGGUUCUUGUACUAUAAGUUUCAUGGAAGAGGGUGACAUCUUAUCUGGUCACGUUGGCCCACCUAGCUCAGCUUGUGAAGUAAAGCUCGUAGAUGUUCCAGAGAUGAAUUAUUCUUCUGAGGAUCAGCCCUAUCCUCGUGGUGAGAUCUGUGUCAGGGGUCCCAUUGUUUUCCGAGGAUACUAUAAAGACGAAGUGCAGACAAAAGAAGUAAUUGAUGAGGAUAGUUGGCUGCAUACUGGAGAUAUAGGGUUGUGGUUACCUGGAGGGCGCCUGAAGAUUAUUGAUAGGAAAAAGAAUAUUUUUAAGUUGGCUCAAGGUGAGUAUAUAGCACCAGAGAAGAUUGAGAAUGUAUAUGCCAAGUGCAAAUUUGUUGCCCAGUGUUUUGUAUAUGGUGAUAGUUUGAACUCCUCCUUAGUAGUGAUUGUCUCAGUGGAUCCAGAUGUUUUGAAGGCCUGGGCUACUUCUGCUAACAUAAAGUAUGAUGAUUUGGGACAGCUGUGCAAUGACCCAAGAGCAAGAGCAGCUGUCCUUGCUGACAUGGAUGCUCUUGGGAGGGAAGCUCAGUUGCGAGGUUUUGAAUUUGCAAAAGCAGUUACUUUAGUGCCAGAACCAUUCACCGUGGAGAGUGGUCUUCUCACUCCAACAUUGAAGAUAAAGAGACCUCAAGCAAAGGCUUACUUCGCUAAAGCAAUUUCUGACAUGUAUGCCGAGCUUUCUACAUCUGACCCAACACCUCAGAAAAUAUUGUAAACUGAAGGUUGUCAUGAAUGGUGGAAUAAAGAAUAAAAGUCAAGCCUUCCAGUACAGCUGAAGGAAGAAGCUCGGCCAAACUAUGAAGGCAACUCAUGCCCUAUUUUAUGCUGCAUGGCAAGUCGGCUGGGGCAAUCUGAACUGUUGAACAGGAAAAAGACAUACUGUAUAGGUCUUGUGUCAAAAUUCGUGUUUUAACUCAAUUGGAUGGCCCACCAUGUUUUCUGGAUUUCCAUCAUUUUUUUCACCAUAUUACAGAAUCAUUCAAUCUUUUGUGGUUUUACUUACUGGAUUUGACAUGGAAGGGUUCACUUGGGCCUAAAAUUGACA